UACGUAGGGUGCAAGCGUUGUCCGGAAUCAUUGGGCGUAAAGCGCGCGUAGGUGGCUUUGUAAGUCCGUUGUGAAAGUCAAAGGCUCAACCUUUGAAUGCCGAUGGAUACUGCGGAGCUAGAGUACGGAAGAGGCGAGUGGAAUUCCUGGUGUAGCGGUGGAAUGCGCAGAUAUCGGGAGGAACACCGGUGGCGAAGGCGGUUCUGCUGGGCCUUACCUGACGCUGAGGAGCGAAAGCGUGGGGAGCAAACAAG
rnacentral:rRNA from 1 species